CCUGGAAACAGAUGCUAAUACCGGAUAACAACAGAUGAUGCCUAUCAACUGUUUAAAAGAUGGUUCUGCUAUCACUCUUGGAUGGACCUGCGGUGCAUUAGCUAGUUGGUAGGGUAACGGCCUACCAAGGCGAUGAUGCAUAGCCGAGUUGAGAGACUGAUCGGCCACAUGGGACUGAGACACGGCCCAAACUCCUAGGGAGGCAGCAGUG
rnacentral:rRNA from 1 species